rnacentral:rRNA from 1 species
UACGUAGGGUGCAAGCGUUGUCCGGAAUUAUUGGGCGUAAAGAGCUCGUAGGCGGUCUGUCGCGUCUGCUGUGAAAACUCGGGGCUUAACCCCGGGCCUGCAGUGGGUACGGGCAGACUAGAGUGCGGUAGGGGAGGCUGGAAUUCCUGGUGUAGCGGUGAAAUGCGCAGAUAUCAGGAGGAACACCGGUGGCGAAGGCGGGUCUCUGGGCCGUAACUGACGCUGAGGAGCGACAGCAUGGGGAGCGAACAGG